rnacentral:rRNA from 1 species
AGAGUUUGAUCCUGGCUCAGAUUGAACGCUGGCGGCAGGCUUAACACAUGCAAGUCGAGCGGGGAAGGUUACCUUGGUAACUGACCUAGCGGCGGACGGGUGAGUAAUGCUUAGGAAUCUGCCUAUUAGUGGGGGACAACAUUCCGAAAGGAAUGCUAAUACCGCAUACGCCCUACGGGGGAAAGCAGGGGAUCUUCGGACCUUGCGCUAAUAGAUGAGCCUAAGUCGGAUUAGCUAGUUGGUGGGGUAAAGGCCUACCAAGGCGACGAUCUGUAGCGGGUCUGAGAGGAUGAUCCGCCACACUGGGACUGAGACACGGCCCAGACUCCUACGGGAGGCAGCAGUGGGGAAUAUUGGACAAUGGGCGCAAGCCUGAUCCAGCCAUGCCGCGUGUGUGAAGAAGGCCUUUUGGUUGUAAAGCACUUUAAGCGAGGAGGAGGCUCCUUUAGUUAAUACCUAAAGAGAGUGGACGUUACUCGCAGAAUAAGCACCGGCUAACUCUGUGCCAGCAGCCGCGGUAAU